rnacentral:rRNA from 1 species
AAUGAACGCUGGCGGCAUGCCUUACACAUGCAAGUCGAACGGAAGCAUGACCUGCUUUGCUCGGUGGCUGUCGAGUGGCGAGCGUGAGAGUCAUGCAUCGGACCGUGCCUUAUAGCUGGGGUUACCUUGGGAAAAGUUAGCCAAUUCCCGCAAAUAUACUGAGGCGGAAAGUACGGUAGCUACAGACGGUUCGCUUGACACGCAGACGUUGUCGGAUUAGCUAGUUGGUGAGGUAAAGGCUUACCAAGGCAACGAUCCGUAGCGGGUCUGAGAGGUUGAUCCGCCACACUGGAACUGAGACACGGCCCAGACUCCUACGGGAGGCAGCAGUAGGGAAUCUUCGACAAUGGGCGCAAGCCUGAUCCAGCAAUGCCGCGUGAGUGAAGAAGGUCUUCGGGUUGUAAAGCUCUUUCGGUUGGGAAGAAAUAGCACUCUCUAAUACAGGGUGUUGAUGACGGUACCAGCAUAAGAAGCACCGGCUAACUACGUG